CCUACGGGUGGCUGCAGUGGGGAAUAUUGGACAAUGGGCGAAAACCUGAUCCAGCCAUGCCGCGUGUGUGAAGAAGGCCUUCGGGUUGUAAAGCACUUUCAGUGGGGAAGAAAGCCUUGGGGCUAAUACCCUCGAGGAAGGACAUCACCCACAGAAGAAGCACCGGCUAACUCCGUGCCAGCAGCCGCGGUAAUACGGAGGGUGCGAGCGUUAAUCGGAAUUACUGGGCGUAAAGCGCGCGUAGGCGGUCUGAUAAGCCGGUUGUGAAAGCCCCGGGCUCAACCUGGGAACGGCAUCCGGAACUGUCAGGCUAGAGUGCAGGAGAGGAAGGUAGAAUUCCCGGUGUAGCGGUGAAAUGCGUAGAGAUCGGGAGGAAUACCAGUGGCGAAGGCGGCCUUCUGGACUGACACUGACGCUGAGGUGCGAAAGCGUGGGUAGCAAACAGGAUUAGAUACCCGGGUAGUC
rnacentral:rRNA from 1 species